CUUGAUGGACCCCAGCCACAGCGGCUGCUCCGGGGCACGCUGCUGCCCGUAGGUGGCGAGCAGCGCCUGCGCCUC
rnacentral:antisense_RNA from 1 species